CAUCCUCCAAGGCUAAAUACUCCUGACUGACCGAUAGUGAACCAGUACCGUGAGGGAAAGGCGAAAAGAACCCCGGCGAGGGGAGUGAAAAAGAACCUGAAACCGUGUACGUACAAGCAGUGGGAGCACAGGUUUACCUGUGUGACUGCGUACCUUUUGUAUAAUGGGUCAGCGACUUAUAUUCUGUAGCAAGGUUAACCGAAUAGGGGAGCCGGAGGGAAACCGAGUCUUAACCGGGCGUUAAGUUGCAGGGUAUAGACCCGAAACCCGGUGAUCUAGCCAUGGGCAGGUUGAAGGUUGGGUAACACUAACUGGAGGACCGAACCGACUAAUGUUGAAAAAUUAGCGGAUGACCUGUGGCUGGGGGUGAAAGGCCAAUCAAACCGGGAGAUAGCUGGUUCUCCCCGAAAGCUAUUUAGGUAGCGCCUCGUGAAUUCAUCUCCGGGGGUAGAGCACUGUUUCGGCUAGGGGGCCAUCCCGGCUUACCAACCCGAUGCAAACUGCGAAUACCGGAGAAUGUUAUCACGGGAGACACACGGCGGGUGCUAACGUCCGUCGUGAAGAGGGAAACAACCCAGACCGCCAGCUAAGGUCCCAAAGUCAUGGUUAAGUGGGAAACGAUGUGGGAAGGCCCAGACAGCCAGGAUGUUGGCUUAGAAGCAGCCAUCAUUUAAAGAAAGCGUAAUAGCUCACUGGUCGAGUCGGCCUGCGCGGAAGAUGUAACGGGGCUAAACCAUGCACCGAAGCUGCGGCAGCGACGCUGAUGCGUUGUUGGGUAGGGGAGCGUUCUGUAAGCCUGCGAAGGUGGCCUGUGAGGGUUGCUGGAGGUAUCAGAAGUGCGAAUGCUGACAUAAGUAACGAUAAAGCGGGUGAAAAGCCCGCUCGCCGGAAGACCAAGGGUUCCUGUCCAACGUUAAUCGGGGCAGG
rnacentral:rRNA from 1 species